AUCUUGCGACAAUGGGCGAAAGCCUGUGGCAGCACCGCCGCGUGCGGGAGGACGGCCUUCUGGUUGUAAACCGCUUUUCGGGGGGAGGAGGAAGAGCUGUACCUCCGGAAGAAGUCCCCGCUCACUACGUGCAAGCAGCCGCGGUAAAACGUAGUAGGCGAGCGUUAUCCGGAUUUACUGGGUGUAAAGCGCGUGUCGGCGGCCUUCCAAGUGGUGCGUGAAAGCGCCCGGCUCAACCGGGCGGGGACGUGGGCGAACUGCAGGGCUAGAGGCAGGUAGAGGCGUGUGGAAUUCCGGGUGUAGUGGUGAAAUGCGUAGAGAUCCGGAGGAACACCAGUGGCGAAGGCGACACGCUGGGCCUGGCCUGACGCUGAGAGGCGAAAGCAUGGGGAGCGAACGGG
rnacentral:rRNA from 1 species